ACAGCAAAUGUUUUAACCAGCUGAGCCAUAGUACCAGAUGAAGAAGAGGUUAACUUUUUGGAAAUCAUGAUUCCUGAAGAUAUUGUCACUGAGAGAGUCACUUGAGACUGCUGUGUGCUGAUCUCUAUGAACUGGAAGGCCCACUCAGACAAUAGGAGAGUUUUCUAAAGAGCCAGGGUAAACUAAAGGAAAAAAAAAAAAAAACCCUACACAAAAUCUCACCAUUGUUGGCUAAGUGCAGUCCUCACCCCUCAUCUAGGAAACCUGUCUUUGCAGUGGAUGGAGACUAUUGUGAAAACCACAAGUUAUCAAAAUGGAGAAUUAUAGAGGCCAUCCCUAACUGAUCCAUCUAUAACACAACUCCUGCACCUUAGGCUCAGAGAUCAUGGUGAAAGAGAAGGAAGAAAGGCAGAAGAUCUGGAAAUUUGCUCUGAGACUGUGUCUCUUAGGAAUGUCGGAAGUUCACCCAGAAAAUGUCAUCAACUGUCUAAAGGAAGGAAUUUAAAACAUGAUACAGACGUGGAUCUGAUUCUUUAAAAUUGAGUAUAAAUGAUUACAUGUGGAGUAACCAAUAUUUCAGUGAUGAAGUCUGGACUUCCACACUGUUCUUGCACCAUCAGAAAGUCACGCUUUAUCUGCAGUUCCUGAGUAGAGUAAGAAGGAUUGAGCAAUGUCAUGAGUCAGGGCUUUUCCAGAGAGCCUGGGUUCAAUACUGGGAACCCAGUGGUCCACAACUGUCUGUAACUCUAGUCCCAGUGGGUCUCACGCCCUCUCCUGCCUGCCACAAGUACUGGAUGCACAUGCUC